rnacentral:rRNA from 1 species
UAUGUAGGGUGCGAGCGUUAAUCGGAAUUACUGGGCGUAAAGCGCACGUAGGCGGCUUGGUAUGUCGGGUGUGAAAUCCCCGGGCUCAACCUGGGAACUGCAUCCGAAACUGCCUUGCUAGAGUAUGGGAGAGGGAAGUGGAAUUUCCGGUGUAGCGGUGAAAUGCGUAGAUAUCGGAAGGAACAUCAGUGGCGAAGGCGACUUCCUGGACCAAUACUGACGCUCAGGUGCGAAAGCGUGGGGAGCAAACAGG